CGCGGGGUAGAGCAGUUCGGUAGCUCGUCGGGCUCAUAACCCGGAGGUCGGAGGUUCAAAUCCUCCCCCCGCUACCA
rnacentral:tRNA from 1 species